GUCCACGCCGUAAACGAUGUCAACUAGCCGUUGGGAGCCUUGAGCUCUUAGUGGCGCAGCUAACGCAUUAAGUUGACCGCCUGGGGAGUACGGCCGCAAGGUUAAAACUCAAAAUGAAAUUGACGGGGGCCCGCACAAGCGGUGGAGCAUGUGGUUUAAUUCGAAGCAACGCGAAGAACCUUACCAGGCCUUGACAUCAAUGAACUUUCCAGAGAUGGAUUGGUGCCUUCGGGAGCAUUGAGACAGGUGCUGCAUGGCUGUCGU
rnacentral:rRNA from 1 species